UAAUUAGAUUCCGAUCGCCAUCCCAGCUUUGCUGGCCUUGGUGAAUCAUAAUUAUUCUACGAAUCGCACGGCUUUACCGCCAGCGAUGGGUCAUUCAAAUUUCUGCCCUAUCAGCUUUUGAUGUUAGUGUAGUGGACUAACAUGGCUAAUACGGGUGACGGGGGAUUAGGGUUCGAUCCCGGAGAGGGAGCCUGAGAAACGGCUACCACUUCCAAGGAAGGCAGCAGGCGCGUAAAUUACCCACUCCUAGCACAGGGAGGUAGUGACAAGAAAUAACAAUACUGAGCUCUUUACGGGUUUGGUAAUUGGAAUGAGUACAACCUAAAAAAUUUAACAAGUAUCUAUUGGAGGGCAAGUCUGGUGCCAGCAGCCGCGGUAAUACCAGCUCCAAAAGCGUAUAUUAAUAUUGUUGCAGUUAAAAAGCUCGUAGUCGAAUUUAUGGCCACGUGAACCCGACCCACUCUCAUGUAGGGUGCGUGUCGGUGUGCUCAGGUCAUAUUCCUGGAGAGCAUCUCUUCCCUUGAUUGGGUGGUUAUGUAAUCCAGGACAUUUACUGUGAAAAAAUCAAAGUGUUCA
rnacentral:rRNA from 1 species